rnacentral:misc_RNA from 1 species
UGCAGUGCCCCAGCAUAG